rnacentral:rRNA from 1 species
GAUGAACGCUCGCGGCAGGCUUAAUACAUGCAAGUCGUGGGGCGGCAGGACUGUAGCAAUACAGUUGCUGGCGACCGGCAAACGGGUGCGGAACACGUACGCAACUUACCCUGAACUGGGGGAUAGCCCGGGGAAACCCGGAUUAAUACCCCGUAAUAUAAUGGAGUGGCAUCACUUUAUUAUUAAAGCUCCGGCGGUUCGGGAUGGGCGUGCGGCUGAUUAGGUAGUUGGUUGAGGUAACGGCUCACCAAGCCUACGAUCAGUAACUGGUGUGAGAGCACGACCAGUCACACGGGCACUGAGACACGGGCCCGACUCCUACGGGAGGCAGCAGUAAGGAAUAUUGGGCAAUGGAGGCAACUCUGACCCAGCCAUGCCGCGUGGAGGAUGAAGGCCCUCUGGGUUGUAAACUUCUUUUAUGGGGGACGAAACCUGUGUAUUCUUACGCAGUUGACGGUACCCUAGGAAUAAGCACCGGCUAACUCCGUG